UUUUAUAAUUUCAAUUAUUAUUUUUAUAAACUUGUUUGUUGUUUUCAUUGGUUCGGCUAGUAGUUUUCAUAAUUACUAUGUAGAGGGUGAUGAUUCACGAGCUAACUUAACAAGUUGGUUCGCAAUAAACUCUACCACUCUUGAAGAAUAAAUUUUAAAGGUAUAAUUGAUUCAAGUAAUUAAAGAUAGAUUAUCUAAAAAACCAAACUGUCUCUACUUUUAUUUCUCUUCUAUUAAGUAUGACACCACCCCAUUAGAAAAAAAAAAAAAUCACAAACAAAAUUAUACACAGCCUCCUUUCUGGCCUCGGUUGAAAGAAAGAAAGAGCUAAGGGGUAGUAUGAAUGUGACCUAUCGUUAUCAAUGUUGAAAAUGGAUUUUUUUUUUUUUAAAAAUCAGUCCAAAUUGGUCUCCUGGUCAUGCCCCCACCCAACAGAUGCUAGGAAUCCUUCAUCAGACAUAAGUCUCUCAUUCUCCCCAUUAAAUUGUUGGAGUAAACAUGAUCUCAUCCCAUUUGGCUGCUGUUGAGGCUACAUAUAAUUCUCUAAUUGCCUGCCGCUUUGUACAAGCGUCAAAAGGCCAACUCCCGUUCCACCAAUUUGAUUGGGAUCACAGUUCAAAUCUAUUUGUCCGCUGCAGCUCUCACCCAACUCACCUUGAUUUCUUUUCUGCAUAAGGGUUUUAAACCGGCGCUUCACAGUCAUGCAAACAUUGCAUGCGCAAGUGGGACUGUGCUUGCCUUGGCCACUUGGGGGCUGAAUGCAAACGAUACAAGUGCACCCAGGCCUGUGUCGGUGAUGCCUAGUUGUGACUCCAACAGAAGUCUCACGUAAGUCUCCUGCAUUGUCUCCUAGAACAGCGGCACUUGCCAGUGCAUCUAAGCUGGAAGGUUCACGAUCUUGACCUGGGUUGCUCUCAACAAUUUUACGUUUCUUGAAGUCUUUGUCAAAAUACAUAGAAGAAAUUAGUGAGAAAGUAUGUUUAAUAUUAAAACGACACAAUAGGUUUAUUUGCUUAUUUCUGGUUCUUUUGCCAAUAUAUCAUGAUAACAAAGAAAUCCAUGUUUUCUAAAUCAA